rnacentral:rRNA from 1 species
CUUGUACACACCGCCCGUCACACCAUGGAAGUUGGUUGCACCAGAAGUCGGUAGCCUAACCGCAAGGGGGGCGCCGCCCACGGUGUGGCCAAUGACUGGGGUG